AUGGCGGCAGUUGAGGAGAUUGAAGCGGCUGACAUCACCCCACGGCAAGGAGAAGCGUCCGCGCGGGACACGAUCGGGGGCCAUGAGAGUAGGCACGAAGGAGGUUUUGCGAAAUCCUGUGUUGAAGAAACCGAGGAGGGGAGGGUUGCGACGGUGGUGGACGCGGAAGCGGCGGAGGAAGCCUGGGUCGGAGACGAGGGAGCGCCAGCGCUUGCAGACGAACGAGGCGCGAGGGAGGGAGGAGGGCUGCGGUGGGAGGCGGAGGAGGAUCUCGGAAAGCAAAUCGUCAUUGUCCAGCGGCGUCGCCCUCGGCGAGCGGCGGCGGCGGCGGCUGGCCAUCUCGCAAGUCGUCGCCCUCGUACGUAG
rnacentral:rRNA from 1 species